AGUCCCUCUGGACUUUAUCGGUUAGGUUGGCUAAUGGAAGUCCCUAAAGAAACUGUUAACUGCCCAACCUUGGCCAGUAGGAUGCAGGAUUAGUAGGUGGCUUCACAAAAUAAUUCCUAAUCACGUCUGUGGCGAUGGACCUGUGGAAAUCUCUUUGGUUUUUGAAUGCCAAGUCUCUAGAAGAAUAAGAAGUCAGGAGAGGGUUCCCGAGCUCAUUUUGCCAGCUCUGGCUCCCAGAGCAUCAGAGAGCCGACAACGUCAGAUGUCAGGAGCGAUGGGACACCAGAGGCGGAAGAACCUAUGUCCCCAGGCUACAGCAAAGCUCCCAGCCCUAUGAAAAUCAUCUAGCCUGCUCUGAGCCACAUGCCUAGAGGUCACAGAGGCAUGCGGGAAAGUGAGAGGAAGUGGAAACGUGCUACAAAAAGGGCUCAAAGCAAUGUGCUCACCACCGGAAAAAAAAAUAAAAAUAAACACCCUCA
rnacentral:lncRNA from 1 species